AUUGAACGCUGGCGGCAGGCCUAACACAUGCAAGUCGAACGGUAGCACAGAGAGCUUGCUCUCGGGUGACGAGUGGCGGACGGGUGAGUAACGUCUGGGAAACUGCCCGAUGGAGGGGGAUAACUACUGGAAACGGUAGCUAAUACCGCAUAACGUCGCAAGACCAAAGUGGGGGACCUUCGGGCCUCACACCCUCGGAUGUCCCCAGAUGGGAUUAGCUAGUAGGUGGGGUAAUGGCUCACCUAGGCGGCGAUCCCUAGCUGGUCUGAGAGGAUGACCAGCCACACUGGAACUGAGACACGGUCCAGACUCCUACGGGAGGCAGCAGUGGGGAAUAUUGCACAAUGGGCGCAAGCCUGAUGCAGCCAUGCCGCGUGUAUGAAGAAGGCCUUCGGGUUGUAAAGUACUUUCAGCGGGGAGGAAGGCGGUGAAGUUAAUAGCUUCACCGAUUGACGUUACCCGCAGAAGAAGCACCGGCUAACUCCGUGCCAGCAGCCGCCGUAA
rnacentral:rRNA from 1 species